UAGAGAGGAGAGAGCCACGGUGUGCAACUGUGAGUCUCAGGGAAGAAAGCGGCUCUGAGGGAAUCCGGCAAGCCGUCAGUGCCUCGCUCUGAGAGAAUCCGGCAAGCCUUCAGUGCCUCGCUCUGAGAGAAUCCGGCAAGCCUUCAGUGCCUCACUCUGAGAGAAUCCGGCAAGCCUUCAGUGCCUCGCUCUGAGAGAAUACAGCAAGCCUUCAGUGCCUCGCUCUGGGAGAAUACAGCAAGCCAUCAGUGCCUCGCUCUGGGAGAAUACAGCAAGCCAUCAGUGCCUCGCUCUGGGAGAAUACAGCAAGCCAUCAGUGCCUCGCUCUGAGGGAAUCCGGCAAGCCUUCAGUGCCUCGCUCUGAGAGAAUACAGCAAGCCUUCAGUGCCUCGCUCUGAGAGAAUCCGGCAAGCCAUCAGUGCCUCGCUCUGAGAGAAUCCGGCAAGCCUUCAGUGCCUCGCUCUGAGAGAAUACAGCAAGCCUUCAGUGCCUCGCUCUGGGAGAAUACAGCAAGCCUUCAGUGCCUCGCUCUGAGAGAAUCCGGCAAGCCUUCAGUGCCUCCUGGUGGGCUGAGUCCCUAGGAGAAGGAAGGGUGGUGCUGUCUGUGCUGAGCUUCGCAGCCUGAAUGGCACUUCUAUCAUGGAGUCAGUUGUGCUAAAGUCUCCGGGCCCACUAGAUCUAGGACCCUGUUACCGUUCUGGCUCCAGAACUGGUGAUGCCAUCAGAAGUGAUGGAAAGGGAAAGAGGUGGUGAGGAAGGCAGAAGCUGAAGUGUCACCACGGCAGACCUGAGGUCACCCAAACUCGGAAGGAGCCAGAAGGAUCCUGCCCCAAGCCUGCAGAGUGUGUGGUCCUGUCAGGACCAGAUUUCAGACUGACUUCAGGAACUGAGAGAACAGAUACCUGGGAUUUUGGGCCACGCAGGAAGAAGGCAGAUCUUGGCUGGGAGCACUUCAAGGAAACCUCCAGAAGGUAGAGACACAGAUGAAAAUCUCUGAAAUUUCUUUUCACACAUUCUUCACAGGCCAGCGUCGUCUUGGUGUGGUAGGAAUUUGUGGUUCAGUAUAAAUGGCUUCAGUGGGCUGGAGAGAUGGCUCAGUUAGUCAGAUGCUUGCUAUCUAUGCAAGAGUGAGGAUCCAAGUUCAGAUCCCUAGAACCAAGUCAAAGCAUGACACAAUAGUGUGCGUCUGUGAUCCCAGCACCCCUACAGCAGGACAGGACACAGACACAGGGGCUUCCUAGAAGUGCCUGCAUUAGCCAGCUUGCUCUAUGCAGUGGUGAACAAGAGAUCCUGUCACAAACAAGGUCAAGGGGAGGACUGAUACCCAAGUUUGCCCUUUGAUACACAUGCAUCCCCACUCUCACACACAAAGAUGAAGAUGAGGAAGAGGUAGGCAGGUAAUUAAAAAAGACACUUGUCUCCAGGCAUAGUGGUUGGCACAUGUCUUUAGUCCCAGUACUCAGGAGGCCCAGGCAGGCCCAUCUCUGUGAGUUUGAGGCUAGCCUGGUCUACAGAGCUAGUUUCAGACCAGCCAGGAUCAC